ACGCUCGACACCUACGGGGGCAGCAGUAGGGAAUCUUCCACAAUGGACGCAAGUCUGAUGGAGCAACGCCGCGUGAGUGAAGAAGGUUUUCGGAUCGUAAAGCUCUGUUGUUGGUGAAGAAGGAUAGAGGUAGUAACUGGCCUUUAUUUGACGGUAAUCAACCAGAAAGUCACGGCUAACUACGUGCUAGCAGCCGCGGUAAUCUGAGCGGGCUGGCAAGGC
rnacentral:rRNA from 1 species